CCUACGGGAGGCAGCAGUGAGGAAUAUUGGUCAAUGGGCGCGAGCCUGAACCAGCCAUGUAGCGUGAAGGAUGAAUGCCCUCCGGGUUGUAAACUUCUUUUAUAAAGGAAUAAAGUGUGGCACGUGUGCCUUUUUGUAUGUACUUUAUGCAUAAGGAACGGAUAACUCCGUGCCAGCAGCCGCGGUAAUAUGGAGGAUCCGAGCGUUAUCCGGAUUUAUUGGGGUUAAAGGGAGCGUAGAUGGGUUGUUAAGUCAGGUGUGAAAGUUUGCGGCUCAACCGUAAAAAUGCAAUUGAUACUGGCAGCCUUGAGUACAGUUGAGGGAGGCGGAAUUCGUGGUGUAGCGGUGAAAUGCGUAGAGAUCACGAAGAACUCCGAUGGCGAAGGCAGCCUACUAAACAGCCACUGACAGUGAUGCGCGAAAGUGUGGGUAUCAAACAGGAUUAGAUACCCCGGUAGUC
rnacentral:rRNA from 1 species